UCUCGUGAUGCUAGCGGACUGGUCACACCUGAUCCCAUUCCGAACUCAGCAGUUAAGCAGUUUAGCGCCGAUGGUAGUUACCCUUAAGGGUUGCGAGAGUAGGUCGUCGCGAGAA
rnacentral:rRNA from 3 species